UACCAGCACCCCGAGUGGUCGGGACGAUUAUUGGGCCUAAAGCAUCCGUAGCCGGUUCUACAAGUCUUCCGUUAAAUCCACCUGUUCAACAGUUGGGCUGCGGAGGAUACUAUAGAGCUAGGAGGCGGGAGAGGCAAGCGGUACUCGAUGGGUAGGGGUAAAAUCCGUUGAUCCAUUGAAGACCACCAGUGGCGAAGGCGGCUUGCCAGAACGCGCUCGACGGUGAGGGAUGAAAGCUGGGGGAGCAAACCGG
rnacentral:rRNA from 1 species